rnacentral:rRNA from 1 species
UUGGAGGGCAAGUCUGGUGCCAGCAGCCGCGGUAAUUCCAGCUCCAAUAGCGUAUAUUAAAGUUGUUGCAGUUAAAAAGCUCGUAGUUGAAUUUCGGGGUUCUACCGUCGGUCGGGCUACCAAGUCUGUACUGGUGUGUAGAAUUUCUACCUUCUGGGGAACCAUCAUGUUAUUAAUUUAGCGUGGUGGGAAACCAGGACCUUUACCUUGAAAAAAUUAGAGUGUUCAAAGCAGGCUUAUGUCUGAAUACAUUAGCAUGGAAUAAUAGAAUAGGACGGUGGUCCUGUUUUGUUGGUUUCUGAAUCACCGUAAUGAUUAAUAGGGAUAGUUGGGGGCAUUAGUAUUCAAUUGUCAGAGGUGAAAUUCUUGGAUUUAUUGAAGACUAACUUCUGCGAAAGCAUUUGCCAAGGAUGUUUUCAUUAAUCAAGAACGAAAGUUAGGGGAUCGAAGACGAUCAGAUGCCGUCGUAGUCUUAACCAUAAACUAUGCCGACUAGGGAUCGGACGAUGUUAAAUUUUAUUGACUCGUUCGGCGCCUUACGGGAAAC